rnacentral:misc_RNA from 1 species
CCAACCGGCACACUCGCGCCCGUCUUCAUUCUCUCGCUCUCAACAAUGUUGCGGUUUCUCCUUGCUGCCCUCACCUCUCUUGCUAAUGGCCAACUUCCCGGCGGACCCUCGUCCUUUCCUCCAACCAGAGUUCAUCACCGUGGAUGGGGACGCCAACCGGCACACUCGCGCCCGCAUCCAUCUUGCUUUGGGGCAGGAGACUCGCCGGGAUGACUUUGUCAUUGCGAUGGACGUGGAGGGAGUGGUGCAACCGGCUAACUUUGGUAUGUGUGUUAGUCGCAUUCGGGAUUACCUUCAAAAUGAUCUUAGACUGCAUGUUCUUAGCUGCUCCGAACACCUGUUUGGGCUGGGAAUUUUUGAAAUGGGAAGCAUUCUCCAGAAGGGUAGAUUGAUCUCUGGUGAUAUUUUCAAUAUUGUCGACACUUUGGGCGCUUUAUCCGACUGGAUAGAGCGCAAAAUUUCAGAGAAGUGACCUAUAGUAGAAAAGGGUGGAUUUUGUUGUUGGGUUUUCCUGUUACUCUUAUGAAUGAUACGUGCAUCCACUAAGUUGUGGCAUCCUUUGGCAAGCUCCUUCAUUGUCACAAUAGUCCUAUGUC